GCUUGGAGAGGAAUUCCUCAUUAAAAGAGAAGGGAAGCAGAAAAGAUGGCAGGGCAGAAGUAGCAAAAAUUCAACUGACCAGCUGAUCAACCAACCAACCAACUGACCAACCAACCAACCGACCAACCCAGACUUCUUGAGCCUUGCUGUGUGUCCAGUUCCAGGUUCAUCUGGAGGGAUAAAGAGAGGGACUAGACCAGAUUCAAGCCCUACUUCUGGACACUCACCUUCAUGGCUCUGAUGAAAAGUUCUCGAAACGUCUUCAUGGUGCUGAAGGUGUCCUCCAGGGACAGCUUGUGGGCAUCCUCACAGAGGGAACCAGCUAUUAAACGUUUACCAGUAUACCACUGGGCAGAAUCUUCGAGUCAGAGAAGAUCUCAGAAGGCAUCUAAUAUUCUCUCCUGCCCAGCACAUGAAUCUUCUUGAUGGUAUCCCCCCAAAUUCAGCUUGAACACCUCCCAUGAUGGGAAGCCUACAAACUCCCAAGACUUCCUACUUAGCUUCUGGAUAGCUUUGAAUGUAAAGGAAAUCCUCCCUAACAGGAUCUCUCUGUGACUUCUGUCUCUCUACAACUUCUGUCUAGUGCCUGGUUCUUCCCUCUGGGAUCAAGCAGAGAAAGGACCCAGAUGUAGCCACUGAUGCUUAUUCAAGGAGGUGUUGCUAAGAACAAAUUCAUUGUAAGUUCAAAAGAGCCCUCCCCUUGGAUAGCAGCUGAUGCUAAAGCCCAUUCCCUGCUUGAUAAUGAUGCAGAACAAAAGUCACUAAGGUCUGGAAAGGCCAGAGAACUGGGGCUGGGAAAGGAGAACUCACUGGCCCUCAGCCCACUGCUAGGAACACCUCACUAGUGGUCUGGUUCUUCUUCACUUUCAACCUGCUCAGUUCCACCUUUGGGGACCUUGGUUCUGCCAAGGGCAGGUCCAGACCUGCUUCCUUUGUCCCUCCCACACUGUGAGUUCCCUUAAGCAGGGCCCAGGUCUGCUUCCUCUGCUGUUUCCCCAACAGUGGGUCAAGCACUGACCUGGGCACACAGAGAGAAUGGAAGCAUUGGUGGGUGAAGUUCAGGAAAGACUUGCCAAAUUGCUUAAGUGUCUUAGCACCCAGGGCACCCGACUUUCCCUUUCCUUUUUAUGUUACUGUGUUUCUUUCUCUUUCUCUGCCUUUAUGUUUAUCUGUCUCCCCCACCUCCCCACUUCCCAGUUUCCAUCCAUCUCUGGUCGUCUCCAAAAGAUGCUCCCCCAAUAUAACACAUACUGUCACAUGCCUCAGAUUGACUGUGCCCCAGCACCCACGAGUUACACCCACCUCCCCCAUUCAGCCUGAAGCUUCAGCUGGUGGGCACUUGCCUGGAGGGGCUUUGCAUACUGCUCCUGAACCUCAGGAAUCCCUGAGGAUACCUUCUGCUCCAUGUCCAGCAACUGCUUCAGGUUGGUGCUGGCUUCCGAGUGGAUGAUAUCAAUAUUGAUCCUGAGAGUCAGUGAAGGGGGCGGGGUGGGAGAAGGACCUCAUUGUGAGACCACAGGUCAGAGAUCACCUGGUGUAAAAACUGGAAAUGCCUAUUUCCUCUCUCCUGAUACCUGCUCCCCCCAUAUUACAAAUGAAGAAACUGAGGACCAGAGAGGGCAGUGAUAAAAUGUAACAGCUGGACAUCAUUGAUUACAUCAUAAUCUCCCCCUUACUGUCAAUCAUACAGAUGGGAAAAUGGGCCCAUUUUGAGAAUCAAAGGUAAUAAUGUAUGUAUAGAAGUAGGUGACACCCUUAGAGUCACCGAAUGACAGCUGGAAAUGAGCUUGGGAGGAUGUUUAGUCUAACCCACUCAGUUUUAGAGGAGAAAACUGAGGCCCCUCCAGAACAAUCAAAGCCACACAGCUGGUUAUCGGCAGAGCCAGCAUUAGAAUCCAGGUCUCUGACUUCCACUAUAAGGAUCUUUCUAAUAGCUGCAUAUUCUCCCAGAUGUGAAGGAUUCUAAUUCCAUUAAAGCCAUUUCCCAAGGUCUAA